GCUGGAGCACAAUGGCGCAAACACAGCUCACUGAAGCCUCUACCUCCCAGGCUCAGGCGAUCCUCCUACCUCAGCCUCCCAAGUAUCUGGGACCACAGGUGCAUGCCACUACACUUGGCUAAUUUUUUAAAUUAUUUGUAGAGACAGGGUCUCCCUAUGUUGCCCAGGCUAGUCUCAAACUUCUGGACUCAAGCAAUCCUCCCACCUCAGCCUCCCAAAGUGCUAAGAUUAGAGGCGUGAUGAGAUUAGAGCCACUGCACCCAGCCUUGGAUUCCUUUUUCUACAUUCCAUUUCAUCUUAUUUCACAUUUCUAACACAAAGUAUAAAACAAAAAAAAUGUAAUGGUUAGUAUUUCGAGGAAAAUUAAUCUAUACUUCACUGGCACCAUACCUUCCUAGGAGAAACACAAGCACCUUAAAUCCAGCAGUUUGGGAAAAGCACAGCAAAAUAUGUGGACCCAGUUAGAAUCCGAGAGGCAGACCAGCUGCUUGAGUACUCCCCUUCCACUGUCUGCAACCCUCUAAACUAAAGCUAAUAUCCUUGUGGAGCCUGUGCCAUCUGAUAAACACAAACCCCAGGUGUGAAUUCAACAAGUGCUCAGCAACCGGCCACCAUGGGCAUCAUCGCAUAAUGUCCCAGGUGGAUGACAGUGGAGAGGGUAAUGCAGUCACUGCUUCUUGGAGAUGGCAAUCAAGAAAGGCAGACCAACACACAUCACUUGCAGAAUGAACCAUAAUACAAAACCAUUUUUUGAGAAGUGACACAGACUAUACAAGACCCCAGUUCAGAUGAAGGAAAUGUCACUUUCUGAUGAAUAAAGAGUGAGUGGCAGAGAAUGGUAGGACUAUUUUGGGGGACAAGGAAAGAAAAUGUUUUAGUAGUUUAGGGUUCAAAACCUGCAAUACUUACUAGGGGCGUACCCUUGUAACAUCUUGUAGCCUCAAUUUCCUCCUCUGCACAUUGGAAAUAAGUGAAUUAAGAAUCAGUAUUAAAAUACACUGGCUUGUUUUUCAGGUAGAGCACAGCGAGUAGACUGGAGAAAGCUGUGACCAAGAUGAACUGCAGAAAAGGAAGUUUUUUCUAGUAACAACACCCGUCCCUAAAUAAGCAACCUCUUCAGUCUAGUCUAGUAACACAACUCUGAUCAUCUAAGAGAUGUGUUCAAUUUCCCUAAGUCUUCUUGAAAUCUAAAAUAAUUUUUAAAAAAUGAGGAAGAAGAAAAAAAUCUGAUUUUUCCCAAAGAUUGAAAUCAAACACCCUUUAAGUAUAUAACUAUUGCUAGUACAAAUAUCACAGUAAAUACAUUUUUAAAAAGUACCAUGGGUAAAAUUUCAAAUAAGGUAUAAGAAUAUUUGAUCAAUAUUUUCAUAACAUACUAUGACGUAAGCCUUCAAAAUGGCAACAGAUGCCCACCUUGAGUUCAGUUCCAGAAAAUAUUUUGUCACUCUAGAAAAAUUCUUUCUCUUACUUCCUCCAAUUAGAAAACAACACAUCAGCACCAUGCUUCCACUUCAGCUUCGGGGGUGGGAAAAUCAAAAGCUAAAUUCACUAAUUGGAGUCGUUUGUUCAUUUCAGAGGCCUGAAGCCAUCUUCUCCUUCUGCCUGCUUUAAAUAUUUGCUCUUCUAUUUUACAAUUAUGUAUAAUACUUUGUUUAACUUUUAACUGUAAAUUGCCUCAAGUCUCCUUGGAAGUAAGCAAUGACAAAAUCUCAAUUAAUUCAUUCUCUCUUUUGAAAAAUAAUAUGACACUUUAAGUUUAUAAAGAAAGACUAGCAUGCUGUCUAGUUCCUAAGUAAAGAAACCUUCAAAGAAGAGGCCUUAAGAGACAUGGAAUUAAAUGUUACAGCUGCAAGUGCACUAUAAUUAAUUACAAAUUCUCAUCGAUUUUUAUUGAGGUCAAUCAUCUGCUGAUAGCCAUGGAAUGA
rnacentral:lncRNA from 1 species